rnacentral:rRNA from 1 species
CAGCAGCCGCGGGAAUACGUAGGGCGCAAGCGUUAUCCGGAAUUAUUGGGCGUAAAGAGCUCGUAGGCGGUUUGUCGCGUCUGCCGUGAAAGUCCGGGGCUCAACCCCGGAUCUGCGGUGGGUACGGGCAGACUAGAGUGAUGUAGGGGAGACUGGAAUUCCUGGUGUAGCGGUGAAAUGCGCAGAUAUCAGGAGGAACACCGAUGGCGAAGGCAGGUCUCUGGGCAUUAACUGACGCUGAGGAGCGAAAGCAUGGGGAGCGAACAGGAUUAGAUACCCCGGUAGUCCCUGUCUCUUAUAA